UUCUUUGAGAUAGCACGAAACGUGGAAGCA
rnacentral:piRNA from 1 species